UACGUAGGGUGCAAGCGUUAAUCGGAAUUACUGGGCGUAAAGCGUGCGCAGGCGGUUGUGCAAGACAGAUGUGAAAUCCCCGGGCUUAACCUGGGAACUGCAUUUGUGACUGCACGGCUAGAGUGCGGCAGAGGGGGAUGGAAUUCCGCGUGUAGCAGUGAAAUGCGUAGAUAUGCGGAGGAACACCGAUGGCGAAGGCAGCUCGCUGGGACGUUACUGACACUGAGGCGCGAAAGCGUGGGGAGCGAACAGG
rnacentral:rRNA from 1 species